GCAGCACCUAACUUUAUUGUUAUUGUUCGUCCACUUAGCAUGCAUCUUAUGCUGACCAGUAAUCGGACGGAUUGGUAACACAGGGAUUCCAUGGUCUAGCAUAUACCCUAAUUUCUCACAAUUCAAAACUAUUUUGAAAUUUGCUGAGCCAGUUUUUUAUAAUUGGGUUUGGUCAAACGAUUGUUCUAUAGGAUAUGAGUUUAGAGUCUAGAAGCUGACUUUAUAAUCCUCAGAGAGUAAAGAUUCUAGUUAGAAUUUUGUACUUGAACACUAUUUGUUUUAGGGACCUUUUUUUUAAAAAAAAACAAAUACACCUCCCACUAUUUCCUCGAAUCUCUCACACUCCUCUGG
rnacentral:lncRNA from 1 species